AAUAGAUACCCGGGUAGUCCACGCCGUAAACGAUGUCGACUUGGAGGUUGUUCCCUUGAGGAGUGGCUUCCGGAGCUAACGCGUUAAGUCGACCGCCUGGGGAGUACGGCCGCAAGGUUAAAACUCAAAUGAAUUGACGGGGGCCCGCACAAGCGGUGGAGCAUGUGGUUUAAUUCGAUGCAACGCGAAGAACCUUACCUACUCUUGACAUCCAGAGAACUUAGCAGAGAUGCUUUGGUGCCUUCGGGAACUCUGAGACAGGUGCUGGCAUGGCUGUCGUCAGCUCGUGUUGUGAAAUGUUGGGUUAAGUCCCGCAACGAGCGCAACCCUUAUCCUUUGUUGCCAGCGGUUCGGCCGGGAACUCAAAGGAGACUGCCAGUGAUAAACUGGAGGAAGGUGGGGAUGACGUCAAGUCAUCAUGGCCCUUACGAGUAGGGCUACACACGUGCUACAAUGGCGUAUACAAAGAGAAGCGACCUCGCGAGAGCAAGCGGACCUCAUAAAGUACGUCGUAGUCCGGAUUGGAGUCUGCAACUCGA
rnacentral:rRNA from 1 species